CCCGUUCGUGGCUAGAGACGGGCGGGCGCUGUAAGCCGUGUUGCGGGCACCGCAUUCGAUCAACACCCCUGGAGAAGCUCUACUGUCGUUGAUUUCUCAGCGGACAGCGAUGGAGGGUUGUAGGAGGCGAAGGGGCUAUGCAUGGGCGAUUUCAGCCGGGCUAAAUGCCGCUUUGGCUGCGGUUUCUGCCAAGCUCUUCUCUUCUCAGGAGAAUUGCAAGUGCAUUGUGGCCAUUGAAGGCUCUUUAAGGUUCAGGCGGCCGAUAAGUUUACCUGUAUUGAAGCCGCUUGUGAAAUAUGGCCUGGUUAUUUUCUUCAAUGUGUCAAUGUGGGGAUGCUACGUCAACAGCCUGAAAGCACUUCCAUCUCUGCAAGCAACAGUGACAAAUUUUGCCACCAACUUCCUUUCUUCAGGUCUAGCCGGAUUCUUUCUUUUUAAGGAGCCACUGUCUUCUCAGUGGUUUGGAGGUGCUCUCCUCAUUGUGCUCGGUGUUUUUGUCCUUAGCAAAUCUAGCAUUGACAGAAAGGUGAGAUCGGAGUGAAGGCACUCCAAUUACUGGAUGAUUUUCUUCAUCCCAGGAAGAAAGGCAGAGGUGACUGGUGAGUGGACAGGACAAACCCUGCACUGAGUAAUGGUUCUUCAACUAAAUACAGACCAUCUGCAGUUGGGGCCCACCAGAUGGACGGUGGCUUUUACUGAGCAUCCAGCCAUGUGCAGGUUGAUUAGUGGCAAUGCGCCGAGACUAAUGGGAAAGACCCCUUAUUACCAAGCGUUUUCUUUCUUCUUUUCUUCUCUUCUUCUUUUUUUUUUUUUUUUUUUUCCUCUCAUAAGGGAAUGAUUCCAUCCUCUAGGAUAAUGCAUACUAUCCUCAGGUUUUUACAUUUGCAUAAGUGGGCCUAUGUUUUCUUGAUCUAGACAGAUUGCGUGAGGGAUCCAUCAAAUGGACCAUGCCCUAAAAUUACCCUCAUUGGAAUGAAUAAAACCCUUCUGGUGGUGACCUGGUUGUUUCCUGCAAUACGGAAAAGAAAUACAGCAAUGGUCCACUUCCAACUGAAAAAGGAUCAAAGAUUUUGAUGGAUUAUAUGUGAGUUUUUGGGCGUGGUCCAACUAGCAGAUGGCUCUUGGAGUCAAGUCUCAAUCAAUGAAUCAUGGGCUCCUGUACAAGUUGUCACAUUCUCGGAUGGACGCUUUUAAAUAAACACAAGUUGAAAAUGCCCACGUGGAGGAUUACAGAUUUAAAGGGAAGAUACAGCUAUCUUAUUAAUUUUUCAAAUAUCAUCUCAGUGAGAAGUCUGAAAAUUCACAGAAAGGAAAAUGUUGAAAGAGAACCACAAACACUCAGUACCCUUGUUUAGUCGAAAGUAUUUCUGGGCUACUGAUGAGUGCACAAGACCAUGGAACAAGAGUUCCAAUCGAGGUAUGCAUAGAUUUCCAUGGAAACAAUUACUAGGAUAAACAGAGGAAUAGUUACGUUUGUCUUUCAAUAUUUAUUAGAACAAAGGAUGAAAUCAUAUCUCACAUGGAAUGCAAUUUCCUGGUGGUCUCCAGAGUGGUCCGAGUCAUAGGGUAUCAGCAGCUGCCAUGAAGUAGCAUGCAUUGCAGCAAUUUUUGUUACAAGAGCUGAAUCCAAUACAGUAUCCUUUGUUAAGGUUAA